rnacentral:rRNA from 1 species
UAGUGGAGCGAUUUGUCUGCUUAAUUGCGAUAACGAACGAGAUCCGAGCCCACUUAUAAUAGUGGGUAGCAUUAGUUUUCCACUUUGCCUUUGUGUGUGUGUGUGUUUACGCGCGCGCGCGCACACUGGUUUAACAGCGGUUAACCUAUGCAAGUCCGCUUCUUAGAGGCACAAUAUGCGAUAUAAUAGCAUAUAGAAGUUGGACCAUAACA